AAAAUAACAAAUGCGAAAAAGGUUGAUUAAGGAAAAAAAAAAACUUGAGACUCAAUUAUUUAACCAAAACACCCUUUAUCGAGUAGAUAAAAACUUCUUUACGGGGCGUCCCGUAAAGAAGAUUUAUGUUGCUAAAUCGCGCACAUUCAAAAGUAUUUUGAAUAGUCCGAAUUGAAAAUCGAUUUUAACUGGUAGGUCAAACUUGAAAACAUAUCUUAGCUAUUACUUUAUUGAGUGAAUGAAUGGUUGAGAUUGAGCGGAUGGAAAACCACACCGGUACUUUUCCCUCCCUGUUUCAUAGGGCAAAUGGAAAACCCGUUUUUAUUUCCCUCCAAAAUGAGAACUAGGGCGGCAUAUCAGAAGUUCUCCAGAGAGCCCAGUCCUUCUAAAUCCGCACAAGAAACCCUUCAAAAAUCAAGCGAGUCAACCACUGGCAGCACACUUGUGGUUUAGUUUGAGCAGCUACCUACUCGAUAAAGGUUAGUGAUUGUCAUGAGGCAUGUUCAAUCAGCAAGAUAGUUAGUCUUCCCGAGUUUGGAAUUUCUGUUUAUUCAAGAACUUGUGACUUGUGAUGGUUGGAAUAUUUCAUAUUUUGUUCCACGAAUGAAUAGUAGAAUAACAACCUUUUGAUGUUUGGAAUUA